GCUGUUGAAAAAAGUAUCUAGCCUGGAAAAGAGUCAAAAGGCAAAUUUAGCAGACACUCAAAACAAAACAAGAAUCCAGACUAACUUCAGUCUCCUUUGUUUUAUUCCAAUUAUUUUCCCUCCUAAUUAAUACAAAACAAAUUGUAAUUAAUGCAACCCAAUCCUGAAAAUUGAAGCUAAGAAAAGAGACAGAAAAAACCUCAUCUUCGCUGAAUCUUCCAG
rnacentral:misc_RNA from 1 species